rnacentral:rRNA from 1 species
CCUACGGGCGGCAGCAGUGGGGAAUAUUGGUCAAUGGGCGCGAGCCUGAACCAGCCAAGUAGCGUGAAGGAUGACUGCCCUACGGGUUGUAAACUUCUUUUAUCAAGGAAUAAAGUGAGGCACGUGUGCCUUUUUGUAUGUACUUUAUGAAUAAGGAUCGGCUCACUCCGUGCCAGCCGCGGCGGUAAUACGGAGGAUCCGAGCGUUAUCCGGAUUGAUUGGGUUUAAAGGGAGCGUAGAUGGGUUGUUAAGUCAGUUGUGAAAGUUUGCGGCUCAACCGUAAAAUUGCAAUUGAUACUGGCAGUCUUGAGUACAGUUGAGGUAGGCGGAAUUCGUGGUGUAGCGGUGAAAUGCGUAGAGAUCACGAAGAACUCCGAUUGCGAAGGCAGCUUACUAAACUGCCACUGACAUUGAUGCUCGAAAGUGUGGGUAUCAAACAGGAUUAGAUACCCGUGUAGUC